rnacentral:rRNA from 1 species
CUGAAUCAGUGUGUGUGUUAGUGGAAGCGUCUGGAAAGGCGUGCGAUACAGGGUGACAGCCCCGUACACAAAAAUGCACAUAUUGUGAGCUCGAUGAGUAGGGCGGGACACGUGGUAUCCUGUCUGAAUAUGGGGGGACCAUCCUCCAAGGCUAAAUACUCCUGACUGACCGAUAGUGAACCAGUACCGUGAGGGAAAGGCGAAAAGAACCCCGGCGAGGGGAGUGAAAAAGAACCUGAAACCGUGUACGUACAAGCAGUGGGAGCACGCUUAGGCGUGUGACUGCGUACCUUUUGUAUAAUGGGUCAGCGACUUAUAUUCUGUAGCAAGGUUAACCGAAUAGGGGAGCCGAAGGGAAACCGAGUCUUAACUGGGCGUUAAGUUGCAGGGUAUAGACCCGAAACCCGGUGAUCUAGCCAUGGGCAGGUUGAAGGUUGGGUAACACUAACUGGAGGACCGAACCGACUAAUGUUGAAAAAUUAGCGGAUGACUUGUGGCUGGGGGUGAAAGGCCAAUCAAACCGGGAGAUAGCUGGUUCUCCCCGAAAGCUAUUUAGGUAGCGCCUCGUGAAUUCAUCUCCGGGGGUAGAGCACUGUUUCGGCAAGGGGGUCAUCCCGACUUACCAACCCGAUGCAAACUGCGAAUACCGGAGAAUGUUAUCACGGGAGACACACGGCGGGUGCUAACGUCCGUCGUGAAGAGGGAAACAACCCAGACCGCCAGCUAAGGUCCCAAAGUCAUGGUUAAGUGGGAAACGAUGUGGGAAGGCCCAGACAGCCAGGAUGUUGGCUUAGAAGCAGCCAUCAUUUAAAGAAAGCGUAAUAGCUCACUGGUCGAGUCGGCCUGCGCGGAAGAUGUAACGGGGCUAAACCAUGCACCGAAGCUGCGGCAGCGACGCUUAUGCGUUGUUGGGUAGGGGAGCGUUCUGUAAGCCUGUGAAGGUGUGCUGUGAGGCAUGCUGGAGGUAUCAGAAGUGCGAAUGCUGACAUAAGUAACGAUAAAGCGGGUGAAAAGCCCGCUCGCCGGAAGACCAAGGGUUCCUGUCCAACGUUAAUCGGGGCAGGGUGAGUCGACCCCUAAGGCGAGGCCGAAAGGCGUAGUCGAUGGGAAACAGGUUAAUAUUCCUGUACUUGGUGUUACUGCGAAGGGGGGACGGAGAAGGCUAUGUUGGCCGGGCGACGGUUGUCCCGGUUUAAGCGUGUAGGCUGGUUUUCCAGGCAAAUCCGGAAAAUCAAGGCUGAGGCGUGAUGACGAGGCACUACGGUGCUGAAGCAACAAAUGCCCUGCUUCCAGGAAAAGCCUCUAAGCAUCAGGUAACAUCAAAUCGUACCCCAAACCGACACAGGUGGUCAGGUAGAGAAUACCAAGGCGCUUGAGAGAACUCGGGUGAAGGAACUAGGCAAAAUGGUGCCGUAACUUCGGGAGAAGGCACGCUGAUAUGUAGGUGAAGUCCCUUGCGGAUGGAGCUGAAAUCAGUCGAAGAUACCAGCUGGCUGCAACUGUUUAUUAAAAACACAGCACUGUGCAAACACGAAAGUGGACGUAUACGGUGUGACGCCUGCCCGGUGCCGGAAGGUUAAUUGAUGGGGUCAGCGCAAGCGAAGCUCUUGAUCGAAGCCCCGGUAAACGGCGGCCGUAACUAUAACGGUCCUAAGGUAGCGAAAUUCCUUGUCGGGUAAGUUCCGACCUGCACGAAUGGCGUAAUGAUGGCCAGGCUGUCUCCACCCGAGACUCAGUGAAAUUGAACUCGCUGUGAAGAUGCAGUGUACCCGCGGCAAGACGGAAAGACCCCGUGAACCUUUACUAUAGCUUGACACUGAACAUUGAGCCUUGAUGUGUAGGAUAGGUGGGAGGCUUUGAAGUGUGGACGCCAGUCUGCAUGGAGCCGACCUUGAAAUACCACCCUUUAAUGUUUGAUGUUCUAACGU